rnacentral:rRNA from 1 species
GACGAACGCUGGCGGCGUGCUUAACACAUGCAAGUCGAACGGAAAGGCCCUGCUUUUGUGGGGUGCUCGAGUGGCGAACGGGUGAGUAACACGUGAGUAACCUGCCCUUGACUUUGGGAUAACUUCAGGAAACUGGGGCUAAUACCGGAUAGGAGCUCCUGCUGCAUGGUGGGGGUUGGAAAGUUUCGGCGGUUGGGGAUGGACUCGCGGCUUAUCAGCUUGUUGGUGGGGUAGUGGCUUACCAAGGCUUUGACGGGUAGCCGGCCUGAGAGGGUGACCGGCCAAAUUGGGACUGGGAUACCGCCCAGACUCCUACGGGAGGCAGGAGGGGGGAAUAUUGCACAAUGGGCGGAAGCCUGAUGCAGCAACGCCGCGUGCGGGAUGACGGCCUUCGGGUUGUAAACCGCUUUCGCCUGUGACGAAGCGUGAGUGACGGUAAUGGGUAAAGAAGCACCGGCUAACUACGUG